AAACCUGAAAUGGCAGAGAGGCAGCUCAGGCGUGCCACGGCCGGAGUAUCUUCUGGAAGUGCAGGCUGCAGCUUCCCGGCUUUAGAAACCUCUGGAGAGCACAGCUCUCCCCUGCCGUGUGCAGCGCUCCUCCCCGGCACGCGGACUGCAGACCCUGCAUGCAUUUGGCUCCCACACCUGUGACUCCCACCCUCCUUUUUAUAAGCUGUGAAUUUUUUGCCUUUCAAAGCAGAGAUUUCCCCCCUUCCCUGCCCCCAGGAAAGUUUUUGCCCCGCAAGCGCCCUGGGUGUUUAAACAGCGUGGAAACUCCCUGUUUCAUUCCGUGUCUGUGCUGCUGCCUCCAGCUCAUGAUUUCCGUUCCUCUGUGGCCUCUGCUAAUGCACAGCGUGGCCCGAAUGGGCUGGUUUUGGCUGCAGCUCCAGUGAAAGGUGGCUGUGUGGUACAGGCACGGACAGGGAUGCUGGAGGGCCUGGAGCCUUCUCGCUAGCACCGUUCCAUGUCGUGUACUGGAGAAGAGGUGCCACUUUUUCCCCUCUACAUCAUCAGCCUGAUUCUAUUAUUGUUACCAGCAAGCAAUGGCAAUACUCUUCAUGUUUCCGUGUCCCAAGGCUUGAUGGAUACAGUCAGUGCCCAUCUGAACGCCCUUCCCUUCUCAGUAGCCCCUUUAUGAUGGCAUUGCUUUUCCAAGCCACAGUGGAUCUUACAAGCCUUCACACUGGUUAAUCCAACCUCUUUUGGCUGCCAGGCUUUGAGUUGUAAGGGGAACACUCAGCAAGGAUAUUAUCCCUUGAUAUCAGUGGAUCCAGAAUUUCUUCUUUUCCUAUCUACAGGGCGGCUCAUUCCUCUCCAUUGCUAUCAGCAAUGAGGGCCGGAUACUACUUACAGAAUAUAAUCAUAAUUUUAAAGGGAAAUAAGAGAGAAAAUAAGGAAUCAAAACUAAAGCUAUCUACGUUUUCUGUCUGAAUGUACAAACCAGGUGGAGCUGCCCCGACACUUGUGCUGCUGAUUAAAAGAGAGCAGGUUGUGUAGAGAGAAAUACACGGUCUUCUCUAGCAGUGACCUUGCCGUGAAGCAGGAGAUACCACGCGUGUGGAGGGACCAAGGAUUAGCCGGUGCCUGAAGCAGAGACACUAUGGGCAGCAUCUCCGACAGCAUUUGUCAGAGCAGCACCAAGAGCUCUGGCAGACCAUAGCGGAACUUUUCUGCUUCGUUUUGUGCUGAAAGCAACUGUUUUCUACUUAUUAGACACUAAUCAAGGUCACCCCUUCGCUGCUGAAUGCUCUGCAUUCACUACACUCUUGGCAGGAGGGCUUGCUCUGCUCCUGUGCGCUCAGAAAAAAAAAAACCAAAAUAAAAUAAAAGGAAAAGAAACCCUUUGGCCAACCAUCUGUUGGAGCACAGGCCGUGGACACAGUGCAGAUACUAACGCCUGGAUGCAUUUUGCAGGUGUGCCCUGUGACCCAUCUUUCCAUGGAGGAAUUCACUGGGAAAACAGAUUGCACUGGACCGUUCCUGCAACUGCAGCUAAUGGCGCCUUGUCUGUGCUACUGCUACAGGAUUAACACAAACAUAGCUCCUGUCUUCAGGCUUAUCAAAGGCGGCAGCACAUCUCUCUAAUCUCCUGUUUCCUUGCUCUCGUUACAGUGUUCAAAUGAAUGGAGCGCUGAUGAGCAGGGAUGCGGUGCCAGCAGGGAGGGUGUCAUUUAAUGCCUCACCAUUUAUGCUGUUUAAUGCCUGUGUGGCUUUAUGUGUCCUGGGCGAGCUGCUAGCCAUCUGGCACCCUCCAGCCCUCACAGGACAGACAGAGGUGCAGCAGCGUCUCCACUGGUCUCCAGCCCAGCGUGUGAGCAGCAGCAGUAACGCAGCGCGGCUCUGGGGUGCCUGGUCCCCCACGGCCUGUCCCUGCGGCCGCUGGGGGGUGAAGCCUGGUGGCCGUGGUUUGGUGACCCUCGGUACCCGGCACUUUGGAUCUCAGCGAGCUACGGGCACACACCUGUAUCUCUGUUGAACGGUUGGCACACGCAACCUGCAGUUCUCUUCCAGCUGUAAAAAACAUAACGCCACCUGCUCUGCCCUAGCACCCGGCUGUGCACCGUUCGCUUGUCAAAGGGCUUGAGAAUCAGCAGAAUUGUCUUUUAUCACAUCAGCUCCUUGUCCGAAGAGUCCUAGAGCUGGAUUUACUGUAUCAUUGAAUCACAGCCUGAAUUUUUAGCUUUAUUACAUUCACGAAUCACAAAUACUUGGGCUGUGUCCUCCAGGCUACCAGGAAGUGGGCUGGGAUCCGCCCUCCUGCGUUCACACCGCUGGCAGCUGGCGUUAACUCUGUCAUUUUCUCCUGUGAGGCCAGAUUGAAAUCAGUGACCUAGAAGUAAAAUACUCUGUAUUGUGUUAGGAAGCAGUCCCUGGCGUUGAGCAGUCUAAGUUGGGAAGUUUUCUCAGCGAGCUCUUUUGUAUAUAUCUUCCUGUGGCAAUUGUACUGUAAUGGAAUCAUAGAAUCAUUUAGGUUGGAAAAGACCCUUGGGAUCAGCGAGUCCAACACCAACCCCACUCUACAAAGUUCUCCCCUACACCACAUCCCCCAACCCCACAUCUAAACGAGUCUUAAACACAUCCAGGGAUGGUGACUCCACCACCUCCCUGGGCAGCCUAUUCCAGUGUCUGACCACUCUUUCUGGGAAGAACUUUUUCCUAAUGUCCAGCCUAAACCUCCCCUGCUGCAGGUUGACGCCAUUCCCUCUUGUUCUAUCGCAAAUUACCUGUGAGAAGAGACCAGCACCAACCUCUCUACAGUGUCCUUUCAAGUAGUUGUAGAAAGGGAGGAGUGUUACCAACAAUCUUUUUUUUGGUAGCAGAAUUUAUUAAUUGCUUUCCACUUUCUCCUGUGUAUCAGAUCAGAGUGAAAUAAGGACUUUCUUUAGUUUGUGGAGGGGCCGGGAUACCCUACGGUAAAGCAGUGGUUUUCCAUGAUGACGUUCUCAGAGAUUAUAUCACGGAUCCCCUGAUAUUUCUGCAAGGAGCCGUGUUUGAGGCUGCCGGCCCCGCGGCUGGGGACACAGCGGGGGGAGCUCAGGGUGCCAGAGCGCCUGCAGCAGGAAGGACGAGGCACGGGUAGAAGCGUUUCCACAGCCAGCCCUCGUGUUCAGGGGACCACUGGUGGGCAGUGCCGACAGGCUGCUGGGAGGCGCUGGCUGCCCUUUUCGGUGCGGUUGCUGACGGUUCAUUUUAUUCAGCAUUUCAUGGAAGUGCCCAGCUCACGUUGUAACUUUAAUGCAGACUGCUAAUACGAAUAAGUUAUAUCUCCGUGUUUUUUUUGUGUUUAGAUUCAAGGUCAGAUCCAGUUGGCCGCUCUGUGGCGGUAUCUAAUGAAUUGCCCGCGUCCCAGAAAGCAUACGAUUUGAGAUUAGAAGCGGCACCACCUUAUUACCAUGACAGGCAAUUGCGAGUGGACGUGCCGUGGCUGGAAGGGCAAGAGGGCCACAAGGAACUUUAUAUUGGUUAAAAUGGAGACCAGUAACACGUUCUUCUAACGCACCGGCAGCAGAAGAAAGGGCGAAUGUCCAGGGAAACUCUCGCUCCCAUAACACAUUCAUUUACAACUCGCCGUGCUGGAGAGCCAUGGAAUGGACGCUUCCAAAAGUCGGAUCACCUGGUGUGGUCCCUGGGUGACACGAAGCUUUGCUGACACAAGCGUGCGUGAUGUUGUGGACAAAGCACUCCGGUGCGCUGCUUGCCUUCGGGGUUUUGGGGGGGACCCGUUUCCUUAUGGCCAGGCUGCGGUUCCAUGGAAGUACAAGGAGUCCGCGUGGCCCGUCUCUUCGAGGAAGCAGGCUUGGAAGCAGGGACGUUUGUUUGAACUCCCAAGUGCCACCCACCGAACAGGACGUGGCCCGAGAGCCAUCUCCACUGCAAGGGAGAAAGGGAGUCAAGAAAUGAAACCUCUGGGUGCUUUUUGGACAACUGCCCAUUCUGCCUUCCUCCUCCUGCCCUUAGGCACAGCUGGAAUACGGUGUGCCGUCCUCCCCACGCCUCCCCCAGCAAUUCAGGUUACAUCUCUGCGGCGCUGAGCAGAGCGGCUCAGGAACGUCUGGCCUGGCUCUGAAAUACCAGCUCACCUCUGAGGAGCCACGCGGCCCCUCCUUGUCACCCGCUCCUUCCUGCCUGAACCCUGUACCUGGGGUCAGCAGGUCGACGUGAGUAAAUGGUUUGAGAACUGCUGAAUAGUGGUAAAAGGGAGAGGAACCUGCUCUUGAAGAACCUCAAGCAGCUACAGGGAAGGUGUGAUGACAAGUUCGUUUGUGCAGCCCCUCGCAGUCUGAUAUGAGUGAAAGGCAACACAGCGUCAAAAGCAAGCCCCACGUUUGGCUGCCAAGCAAGAGACAAGAUGUACCAGUAGGAUGCUGGUGCUCGCAGGAGGCGGCCUUCUUCCAGCCCUUGCCCCAGUGUGUCGCUGUGAGAACACAACCAGCGCCUUUUAACGAAGAACACCGGCUGUCGGCUGGAAGAGACCGUAUUUAUCCUUUCUGUAACGCCACUCG